rnacentral:rRNA from 1 species
GACGGAGGAUGCAAGUGUUAUCCGGAAUCACUGGGCGUAAAGCGUCUGUAGGUUGUUUAAAAAGUCUGCAGUUAAAGGUUGAAGCUUAACUUCAAAAAUGCCGUAGAAACUUUUAAACUAGAGGAUGGUAGGGGGUAGAGGGAAUUUCCAGUGGAGCGGUGAAAUGUGUGAGAUAUUGGAAAGACCACCGAUGGCGAAGGCACUCUACUGGGCCAUGACUGACACUGGAGAGCACGAAAGCUAGGGGAGCAAAUGGG